GAUUCAUUUUUAUGCAUUUGUCAAGAAAUAUAUCUGACCUACUUAAAUAUCCGUCAUUCAAUCUAAUCUAAAUAUCAUUACUCUAUUUUAUCCCUCCACAGAUUUUGCAUCAUCUGUACGAUCAGGACAUUAUACAAGAAGAAGCAAUACUUGACUGGGCUUCUGAAAAGGAAGAAGCAGAGGAGUCAGAUAAGGUUUUUGUCAAGCAAUCAGAAAA
rnacentral:lncRNA from 1 species